GAUGAACGCUAGCUACAGGCUUAACACAUGCAAGUCGAGGGGCAUCAGGAAGAGAGCUUGCUUUCUUUGCUGGCGACCGGCGCACGGGUGAGUAACACGUAUCCAACCUGCCCUUUACUCGGGGAUAGCCUUUCGAAAGAAAGAUUAAUACCCGAUAGCAUAAUGAUUCCGCAUGGUUUCAUUAUUAAAGAUUUAUCGGUGAUGGAUGGGGAUGCGUCUGAUUAGCUUGUUGGCGGGGUAACGGCCCACCAAGGCGACGAUCAGUAGGGGUUCUGAGAGGAAGGUCCCCCACAUUGGAACUGAGACACGGUCCAA
rnacentral:rRNA from 1 species